GGCUGUCCAAAGCCCAAUGG
rnacentral:siRNA from 1 species